rnacentral:lncRNA from 1 species
UAAGGACCACACCCAUGGUUCUGCUGGUCUCCAUGGGAACACUAAGGACCACGCCCUGAGGAAAUGGAAGGUUUACUUUGACUCCUGUUACCCGGGCUGUGAUGGCCAACUUUAACUGUCUACUUUACACAACUCAGAAUCGCUUGGGAAGAGGGUUCCCAGGAGGAAUUGCGGAGAUCAGGAUGGCCUGUGGGCAUGUCUUCUAGGACUCCCGCCAAGGAAGGUGUCACCCACACUCAGGGUGAGUGGUGUCUUCUCAGCCAACCGCUCAGCGAGCACCUUCCCCGGCCCACCCUAGGAUGAGUCACUGAGGUGAUUCUUAAUCCGGUGAAGUCGAUCAUGAAAAUGAACUGUCACAAGGCACAGCAGAGAAUUCAGGAGGAGGAGGAGCCUACACAGGCCUAGGAUCAAGAAAACUCUUCUAGAUGCAGUGAGCCAUCAACAAAUCAUUGAUGUGUGAUGGAGCUGGACAGGCAAGGGGCGGGAAAGGGUAAACAGAUUGCAAGAGGCAGAGGAGGAGGCAAGAUAGCAUCUUAAUGCCCGGUAUCCCCAGUGCCCCACACAACAAGCAUGAAAUAGACCAAUUUAGAUAUUACACAGCAUAAGGCUAGUUUGUGCCUUAGUCUGAUAGGUGGUAUCACCCAAUGCAAGCUUGAACAAAUCCCUCUACAUUUGGAGUCUUGCUGUCCUUGCUGCAAAGAUGGAUAAUUUAGGGAGAUUUGACAGAAGACCCAGGACCUACUUGUGAAGAUCAUUGACAGGAAGGGCUGUAAAACAAUCAAACCAGGACAGCAGGACAGCAGGACAGCAGGACAGCAGGACAAGACAGCACUGGCAUCUUGAAAGGAAGCAUGUUUUGUUUUGUUUUCUGAGACAGGGUCUCACAAUGUAGUUCUGGCUGUCCUGGAUCUUACUGUGUAUACCAGGCUAGCCUUGAACUCUCAGAGAUCUGCCUGCCUCUGUCUACAGCGUGCUAGAAUCAAAGGUGUGUGCCACUAUGCUAAGCUGAAAGCAAGCAUCUUAGGAUCUAAGUGUUGGUUAAUGAUAAAAAAUUAAGCAAUAUGGCAUGACCUGUUGGUGCAGGCUUUUAAUUCAUCGACCUGGGAGGCUCAGGCAGGAGGACUGAAAGUUCACUGCACACCUGGGCUAAAGCAUGAGUUCAAGGCCAACCUGGGCAACUUAGUGAGACUGUCUACAAAACUAAAAUGAGAGCCGGGGAUAUAACUUAGUGGGAAAAUGUUCACCUAGCAUGCACAAAGCCCUGCUUCAAAUCCCCUGCAAAAAUAAAAG